AAGAAGGGUCUGACGGUAAAUAAUCGGCAGAUUUGACGGUACCAGAAGAAGAAGCACCUGCAACUACGUGCCAGCAGCAGCGGUAAUACGUAGGGUGCAAGCGUUGUUCGGAAUUACUGGGCGUAAAGCGCGCGUAGGCGGGUCCGUAAGUCGAUUGUGAAAGCCCUGGGCUUAACCCGGGAAUUGCAGUCGAUACUGCGGAUCUUGAAUGCCUGAGAGGAUGGCGGAAUUCCCGGUGUAGAAGUGAAAUUCGUAGAUAUCGGGAAGAACACCUGAGGCGAAGGCGGCUAUCUGGCGGUGCAUUGACGCUGAUGCGCGAAAGCGUGGGGAGCAAACAGGAUUAGAUACCCUGGUAGUCCACGCCGUAAACGAUGGAUACUAGGCGUCCGAAGUGUUAACCCUUUGGGUGCCGUAGCUCACGCAUUAAGUAUCCCGCCUGGGGAGUACGGUCGCAAGGCUG
rnacentral:rRNA from 1 species